CAGUCUCCGGUCUCCCCCACGCCUGAUUGGAGAUCUCCUCGGUGGCAUCCUUCGUUGAAAUGCAGCUCCUCGCAAAGGAUUCUCGGCCGGGAGGGGAGAGGCGGGCACCGGAGACGCUGAGGGUUCCGGCAUCAAGGUAUGUGAGUGAUCCCUGGUAGCAGCCUCGGUCACAAAUUUCCAGCUACUGUGCUUCAUCCGGAGAUAAGAAGGCUCUGUAGGAGCUCUAUUGGUCGUUCUUGGCAGCAGGUAUCACUAGAGGAUCUGUGUCGGCAAUUUUACCUUCGGGCAGGGAAUCAUCAGAGGACUUUGAUCAAGGCGGUUGUCGUGACGAGAUUGACGUCGGAUUCAGCCUACAUUUACAGGCGGGUACUUCUUGCUUU